UGAAAGCAUUUGCAUCUUCAGAUAGCCUAGCCAAGGUCCAAGAAGUAGCAAGCUGGCUUUUGGAAAUGAAUCAGGAACUGCUCUCUGUGGGCAGCAAGAGGCGACGAACUGGUGGAUCUCUUCGAGGUAAUGCUUCCUCAAGCCAAGUAGAUGAGGAGCAGAUGAAUCGGGUCGUAGAAGAGGAGGAGCAGCAGCAAAGACGACAACAAGAGGAGCAGCACAUUGGGAGGAAUGGGGAGAUAGGAGGAGAAGAAUCUGGAUUUGAUGACAGGCAUGAGUCUCAGCAGGAGCAGUUAGAAGAAAAUAAUAAUAGACUUAUUACAGUGGAUGAAGAUUCCACUUGUAACCAAGAGGAAGAUGAUGAUGAACAUGCUGGUGAUCAAGAGGAGGAGGUGGAAGAGGAGGAGGAAAUGGACCAGGACAGUGAUGAUUUUGAUCAGUCUGAUGACAGCAGCAGAGAAGAUGAACAUGCUAACAGUAAUAGUGUCACAAAUUCCAAUAGCCUCAUGGACUUGCCCAUUCACCAGUCAUCGCCAUUCUACAUGAAGACAAAGAUGAAGAGAAAGUUGGACCAUGGCUCCGAGGUCCGUUCUUUCUCUCUGGGAAAGAAACCCUGCAAAGUCUCAGAAUACACAAGUACCACGGGGCUGGUGCCAUGUUCUGCCACACCGACGACGUUUGGGGACCUGCGGGCAGCCAACGGCCAGGGGCAGCAGCGGCGCCGCAUUACAUCCGUGCAGCCACCGUCGGGCCUCCAGGAAUGGCUGAAAAUGUUUCAGAGCUGGAGCGGACCAGAGAAGUUACUUGCUUUAGAUGAACUCAUUGAUAGUUGUGAACCAACACAAGUAAAACACAUGAUGCAAGUGAUAGAGCCCCAGUUUCAAAGAGACUUCAUUUCCUUGCUCCCAAAAGAGCUGGCACUGUAUGUGCUGUCAUUCCUGGAACCCAGGGACCUUCUGCAGGCAGCCCAGACAUGUCGUUACUGGAGAAUUCUGGCUGAAGAUAAUCUUCUCUGGAGAGAGAAAUGCAAAGAGGAGGGGAUUGAUGAACCAUUACAUAUCAAGAGGAGGAAAGUAAUAAAACCAGGCUUUAUACACAGUCCGUGGAAAAGCGCCUACAUCAGACAGCACAGGAUUGAUACCAACUGGCGGCGGGGAGAACUGAAAUCGCCCAAGGUGCUCAAGGGCCACGAUGACCAUGUGAUCACAUGCCUGCAGUUCUGUGGGAACCGCAUCGUGAGCGGCUCCGACGACAACACGCUCAAAGUGUGGUCAGCAGUGACAGGCAAGUGUUUGAGAACACUGGUUGGGCACACAGGCGGAGUGUGGUCAUCACAGAUGAGGGACAACAUUAUCAUCAGUGGCUCUACAGACAGAACGUUGAAAGUCUGGAAUGCUGAGACCGGGGAAUGCAUCCACACCUUGUACGGACACACCUCCACCGUGCGCUGCAUGCAUCUCCACGAGAAAAGGGUGGUCAGUGGGUCUCGAGACGCUACGCUGCGAGUCUGGGACAUAGAGACGGGCCAGUGUUUACACGUUCUGAUGGGCCACGUCGCCGCAGUUCGUUUGAUGGUAUCCAUGUGGUGAGUGGAUCUCUUGACACUUCCAUCCGAGUUUGGGAUGUGGAGACAGGCAACUGCAUUCACACUCUAACGGGCCACCAGUCACUCACAAGUGGAAUGGAACUCAAGGACAAUAUACUUGUGUCUGGGAAUGCUGAUUCUACAGUCAAAAUCUGGGACAUUAAAACAGGACAAUGUUUACAGACAUUGCAAGGUCCCAACAAGCAUCAGAGUGCUGUGACCUGUUUACAGUUCAACAAGAACUUUGUAAUUACCAGCUCAGAUGAUGGGACUGUAAAACUUUGGGACUUGAAAACGGGUGAAUUUAUCCGAAAUCUAGUCACAUUGGAGAGCGGGGGAAGUGGAGGCGUCGUGUGGCGAAUCAGAGCUUCUAACACAAAGCUGGUGUGUGCAGUUGGGAGCCGCAACGGGACUGAGGAAACAAAGCUGCUGGUGUUGGACUUUGACGUCGAUAUGAAGUGAAGGGCAGAAAGAUGAAUUUGUCCAAACGUGUAGACGAUGUUCUCCUUUCCCUCCCCCCUGAAAAAAAAAAAAAAAGAAAAAAGAAAAAAAAGAAAAAGGAAAAAAAUCCCUUGUCCUUGGUGGUGCAGGAUGUUGCCUUGGGGCAACAGAUCCUAAAGACCUACAGACUACGAAGGAGAAGACAAAGAUGACAAACUAUAACUGACAAGAGAGGCUUUUGCUGUCUCGUCACAUAAAAAGGCUACACUUUUGACCGGGGCAGCUUUGCAAAAAUCCAAUUUUGAAAUGAAACCAGGUGCAAUUAAUUUCUUUACUUUUCUCCAAAUGCUCCUUGAACAAUUUGGAGUGGGGAAAAAAAAAAAAAACCAACAAAAAAAAGUUACACUUCUUGUUAGCAAGUUAUUUUACCACAAAGAUCUUGAAAUAAGCUGCACAGGCGAGCCUGCUCGUGCACCCCUGGGUCACCCUGGGUCCCGGCAGCCCCUCCGAGCAACGCGCUGUCCCUUAGCCCCGCUCCGAGCAGGGGGUUGGACCGGACUCCCUCCAAGGUCCCUUCCAACCUCCACGAGCAGUCACUGGUUGACUUUCAAAAACUAGAGAGCAUCUGCAAUGAGAAAAACAAACAAAAACAAAAACAAAGAGUCCAUUCCUGGUGUGGAAAAGCUAAAAUAUUACUGUGAAUUGUUUUGUACAGUUUUAUCAGAGCUUUUUCUUUUUUUUCUUUAUUCCUCUUUUUUUUUUUAUUUUAUUUUUUUUUUGCCAACCAUUGCCAAUGUCAAUCACAGUAUUAGCCUCUGUUUAAUCUAUUUACUGUUGCUUCCAUCUACACUCUUCAACGCAUAAGUUGCUCUGAGGUGGCAAGUUGUCCUGGGUUUUGAGAGUCCUCUGAUGGAUUUAAUUCGCAAUGCUGGUGCUAGAAGUAGGUCUUCAAUUACGGGAUUGUUGUCCCACCCCUGUACUGUAUUCCCAGUGGCCAAACUUAUUUAUGCUGCUAAAUGAAAGAAAGAAAAGCAAAUUAUUUUUUUUUAUUUUUUUUUUCUGCUGUGACGUUUUAGUCCCAGACUGAAUUCCAAAUUUGCUCUAGUUUGGUUACAGAAAAAGACUUUUUGCCACUGAAACUUGAGCCAACUGUGCCUCUAAGAGGCUGAGAGUGGAAGAGUUUCAGACAAUUAAGAGUGAAGUUUGCCUGCAAAUAAAGAAUUGAGUGUGUGUGCAAAGCUUAUUUUCUUUUUUCUGGGCAAAAAUUAAAACACAUUCCUUGGAACAAAGCUAUUGCAGCCUGUUCUGUGGGGAAAUUUUUCUUUGUGAGGGCUGUGGUGAAUGGAAUGAACAUACAUUAAAAAAAAAAACUGACAAAAUUUUUAAAAAAUAUUAUAAAAUACAAAAAUUAAAAUAAAGUUGCUGGUCAGUCUUAGUGUUUUACAGUAUUUGAGAAAAAAACAACUGUUACAGUUAUUGCUGGGAGGAACUGACAGAGCAAAAACUUACGUUUUUGUAAAGAUGUCACAUGCAAACAAAAUGAGAAAAGAAAGAGUCAAAUGGUUUGCCUCAUUCUCCAAGAGCCACAACUCAAGCUGAACUGUGAAAGUGGUUUAACACUGUAUCCUAGGCGAUCUUUUUUCCUCCUUUUUUUGUUUUUGUUUUUGUUUUAUUUAUAGUCUGAUUUAAAACAAUCAGAUUCCAGUUGGUUAAUUUUAGUUAUGUAACAACCUGACAUGAUGGAGGAAAACAACCUUUAAAGGGAUUGUGUCUAUGGUUUGAUUCACCUAGAAAUUUUAUUUUCUUAUAACUUAAGUGCAAUAAAAUGUGUUUUUUCAUGUUA